rnacentral:rRNA from 1 species
GGGUCAGUAGGUUGGUCGUGCCACCGGUACGUACUGGUCCCACUGAUUCCUCCUUCCUGAAGAACCUUAAUGCCAUUAAUUUGGUGUUGCGGGGAAACAGGACUGUUACUUUGAAAAAAUUAGAGUGUUUAAAGCAAGCUAACGCUUGAAUACAUUAGCAUGGAAUAAUGAAAUAGGACGAUCGAUCCUAUUUUGUUGGUUUCUAGGAUUGACGUA